rnacentral:rRNA from 1 species
UACGUAGGUAGCGAGCGUUGUCCGGAUUUACUGGGCGUAAAGGGAGCGUAGGCGGACUUUUAAGUGAGAUGUGAAAUACUCGGGCUCAACUUGAGUGCUGCAUUUCAAACUGGAAGUCUAGAGUGCAGGAGGGGAGAAUGGAAUUCCUAGUGUAGCGGUGAAAUGCGUAGAGAUUAGGAAGAACACCAGUGGCGAAGGCGAUUCUCUGGACUGUAACUGACGCUGAGGCUCGAAAGCGUGGGGAGCAAACAGG